ACCUAUUUUAAAAUAAACGGAUUUAAAAAUUCUUAUCAGAGUUAUUGAAACUUAGCGGAAAAUUACAGUCCCGAAUCGACUUCCGUCUAUUCUGAACCGCUACUAGAAAACCGGACACGCGAAUUUAUUGCUAUAAAAUAAACGGAUUUAAAAAUUCUUAUCAGAGUUAUUGAAACUUAGCGGAAAAUUACAGUCCCGAAUCGACUUCCGUCUAUUCUGAACCGCUACUAGAAAACCGGACACGCGAAUUUAUUGCUGGA
rnacentral:lncRNA from 1 species